AUAGCGUAUAUUAAAGUUGUUGUGGUUAAAAAGCUCGUAGUUGGAUCUCAGUUCCUAGUCAGACGGUCCACUUGCCAGUGGCUACUGUUUGGCUGAACACUUUACCGACCUGUCCUAUGGUGCUCUUCACCGAGUGUCAUAGGCGAUCGGUACGUUUACUUUGAAAAAAUUAGAGUGCUCAAAGCAGGCGUAAUUGCCCGAAUAAUGUUGCAUGGAAUAAUAGAAUAGGACCUCGGUUCUAUUUUGUUGGUCUUCGGAGCAUGAGGUAAUGAUCAAUAGGGACAGACGGGGCCAUUCGUAUUGCGGAGCUAGAGGUGAAAUUCUUGGACCUUCGCAAGACGAA
rnacentral:rRNA from 1 species